GAUGAACGCUGGCGGCGUGCCUAACACAUGCAAGUCGAACGGAGAUUCCGGACGGAAGUUUUCGGAUGGAAGCCUGUAAUUCUUAGUGGCGGACGGGUGAGUAACGCGUGGGCAACCUGCCCUAUACAGGGGGAUAGCAGCUGGAAACGGCUGGUAAGACCGCAUAAGUCGGUUAAAUCGCAUGAUUUGAUCGGGAAAUGAGCAAUCAGGUAUAGGAUGGGCCCGCGUCCGAUUAGCCAGUUGGCAGGGUAAAAGCCUACCAAAGCGACGAUCGGUAGCCGGACUGAGAGGUCGGACGGCCACAUUGGGACUGAGACACGGCCCAAACUCCUACGGGAGGCAGCAGUGGGGGAUAUUGCAAAAUGGAGGAAACUCUGAUGCAGCGACGCCGCGUGAGUGAAGAAGUAUUUCGGUAUGUAAAGCUCUAUCAGCAGGGAAGAUGAUGACGGUACCUGACUAAGAAGCCCCGGCUAACUACGUG
rnacentral:rRNA from 1 species